rnacentral:rRNA from 1 species
GACGAACGCUGGCGGCGUGCUUAACACAUGCAAGUCGAACGGAAAGGCCCUGCUUUUGUGGGGUGCUCGAGUGGCGAACGGGUGAGUAACACGUGAGUAACCUGCCCUUGACUUUGGGGUAACUUCAGGAAACUGGGGCUAAUACCGGAUAGUAGCUCCUGCUGCAUGGUGGGGGUUGGAAAGUUUCGGCGGUUGGGGAUGGACUCGCGGCUUAUCAGCUUGUUGGUGGGGUAGUGGCUUACCAAGGCUUUGACGGGUAGCCGGCCUGAGAGGGUGACCGGCCACAUUGGGACUGAGAUACGGCCCAGAGGCAUACGGGAGGCAGCAGUGGGGAAUAUUGCACAAUGGGCGGAAGCAUGAAGCAGCAACGCCGCGUGCGGGAGGACGGCCUUCGGGUUGGAAACCGUGUGCGCCUGGGACGAAGCGUGAGUGACGGUAAUGGGUAAAGAAGCACCGGCUAACUACGUG